GAGUUUGAUCCUGGCUCAGGACGAACGCUGGCGGCGUGCGUAACACAUGCAAGUUGAACGACGGUGCCAUGAAGUGGUAACACGGAGUGGUAUACGGAGUAGCGGACGGGUGAGUACAACAUGAGAAGCUGUCCAAUAGUGGGGGAUAACGUUCGGAAACGGACCCUAAUACCCCAUAGGCCUUUUGGUUAAAGCAGCGAUGCGCUAUUGGAGGUGCUCGUGUCCUAUCAGCUGGUUGGUGAGGUAACGGCUCACCAAGGCGACGACGGGUAGCCGGCCUGAGAGGGUGUCCGGCCACACUAGAACUGAGAUACGGUCCAGACUCCUACGGGAGGCAGCAGUGGGGAAUAUUGGGCAAUGGGAGAAAUCCUGACCCAGCGACGCCGCGUGAACGAAGAAGGCCUUCGGGUCGUAAAAUUCUUUUAUGUGGGAAGAAGGAAGUGACGUACCACAUGAAUAAGCCCCGCA
rnacentral:rRNA from 1 species